rnacentral:rRNA from 1 species
AGUGAACGCUGGCGGUAGGCCUAACACAUGCAAGUCGAACGGCAGCACAGUAAGAGCUUGCUCUUACGGGUGGCGAGUGGCGGACGGGUGAGGAAUACAUCGGAAUCUACUUUUUCGUGGGGGAUAACGUAGGGAAACUUACGCUAAUACCGCAUACGACCUACGGGUGAAAGCAGGAGAUCUUCGGACCUUGCGCGAUUGAUUGAGCCGAUGUCGGAUUAGCUAGUUGGCGGGGUAAAGGCCCACCAAGGCGACGAUCCGUAGCUGGUCUGAGAGGAUGAUCAGCCACACUGGAACUGAGACACGGUCCAGACUCCUACGGGAGGCAGCAGUGGGGAAUAUUGGACAAUGGGCGCAAGCCUGAUCCAGCCAUACCGCGUGGGUGAAGAAGGCCUUCGGGUUGUAAAGCCCUUUUGUUGGGAAAGAAAAGCAGCAGGUUAAUACCCCGCUGUUCUGACGGUACCCAAAGAAUAAGCACCGGCUAACUUCGUG